UACGUAGGUGACAAGCGUUGUCCGGAUUUACUGGGCGUAAAGAGCGCGCAGGCGGUCGAUCAAGUCGAGUGUGAAAGCCCCCGGCUCAACCGGGGAAUGGCUGGAUAUACUGGCGGUCUUGAGCGAUCUAGGGCAGAUGGAACAAGUGGUGGAGCGGUGAAAUGCGUAGAUAUCACUUGGAACGCCAAAGGUGAAGACAGUCUGCUGGGGAUCUGCUGACGCUGAGACACGAAAGCCAGGGGAGCGAACGGG
rnacentral:rRNA from 1 species